UACGGAGGGUGCGAGCGUUGUCCGGAAUCACUGGGCGUAAAGGGCGCGUAGGCGGCGCGGGGAGUCAACGGUGAAAGCUCGGCGCUCAACGCCGAGUCGGCCGUCGAUACUCCCCGUGCUCGAGCACUGUAGAGGCAGGUGGAAUUCCGGGUGUAGGCGGUGGAAUGGCGUAGAGAUCCGGAAGAACACCGGUGGCGAAGGCGGCCUGCUGGGCAGAGCUGGCGCUGAGGCGCG
rnacentral:rRNA from 1 species